GGCAAAGUCGUUCGCGGACAGUAGCAGUCGGGCAUUGUGCCUGACUGGUGCGUCGCGUCUCAAUCAUCCGCCGCCCAUUCGCGCACUGCCUUUGCCAACUGCUAUAACGGUCGCGCGCACACGCACACACACACAUACAGACACUUGUAAUAUUUCGCGUAAAAAGGCAACUGAGUUAAUAUUUCUUCGCGACGUGGCGAGCGUUUGUUGGGAAUUCGCUGUACAACUUUGCACGCAUAGCGACGAUUUUUUUUGCGAGUCCUCACACAUCUCGAUUGCCGCUGUUGAUUGCUUCCUUGGAGUCUGUGAGUUGCCGCCGCUGCUGCCAACGCCUGCACCGCCCGCCGCGCCACCCUGCCCUGCCGUGGCAUGUCGGUCGCCCCCGUCGCUGGCUCGCUGGCUGGCAUUGAUGGAGCCGUUGAAGAUGAAACGCGAAGACGCGCUCCCAGAUUGUUUAGCGAUUCAGUGGUGAUAAGGCGCCAGCCACUGCCGAAGAAAAGGAAUCUGUUCUGUUCGCAUUGCGUGCAAUACAAAUUGAAAUUUCAUUCCUCAACGUGAGGCGCAUCCGAAAGGUUGUCGGCGGCUUUGCCAUAGUAUACGUUUGGGGAUUGCCCCAAGAUGCUGCCAAAGAACUCAUAAAAAAUACAAGACAAUAUUUAACAUUACAGUACUGUUGUGAAUUGUGUGUCUAAAAAAUAUUGUGUGGCCAGCAACAAAAGCAAAAAAAAAAGAAGAAAAAAAUUGUUAGAAAUUUAAUAACUGAAAGCGUAACAUUUUUGAAGUGACAUCUGAGUGUAUUAACUAUUAUUUUCAAACAAAUAUUGCAAUAACGUUGUUUUAAAAUACAUAUUUCAACAAAAAUGGAUUUAAUGACAAUAAUUUUGUGCAAAGCUGCUUUUAUGGUUACACUACAUUUCUACAUUUGAUUUAAGUGAAACUAAAGUUAUAGAUCAAUUUCAAACAGCUGUUCGAGCUCGAGGAAUACUCUGCAAGUUUAGAAAUAAAGUAAGCACAAUCAAUCAAUAUGAAGGAAUAUUAUCAAUAGGAGCAAGUCUACAAACACAAUUAUAUGAUGUUUUGGUGGAAUGAAUGAAGGUAUUAGCUCAAUGUGAUGAGAAAAGUGACUAGUCCUCGACCACACACAAUUGUCAUAUCGGAACUUGAAAAUUAUGGCAAUGGAAUCGCUGCUAAGAAGCGCAAACUUCGACAAAAACUAAAAUCCGAAAAUUCGAAAUCAGAGUGCAUGAGAAGUUCCACGGCGAGACAGUUCCGGUAAGAAUAAAGGCAACCAGCGAGGAUACUUCGUGUAGAGCAGACAACAUAAAAUCACUUAAAAACACAUAAUAAUCAUGCUAGUAUUAAGAAUUUAAAGAUAUCUUUGAAAGAAUCACCAGAAAAUGUAUAUAUAAUUAUCUCUU